rnacentral:rRNA from 1 species
GACGAACCGUGCGAACGUUGUUCGGAUUCACUGGGCUUAAAGGGCGCGUAGGCGGCUGACCAAGUCGGGGGUGAAAUCGUCCGGCCCAACCGGACACGGGCCCCCGAUACUGGCCGGCUCGAGGGGGGUAGGGGCAUGCGGAACUUCCGGUGGAGCGGUGAAAUGCGUAGAUAUCGGAAGGAACGCCGGUGGCGAAAGCGGCGUGCGUGGACCCCUCCUGACGCUGAGGCGCCGAAAGCCAGGGGAGCGAACGGG